CAGCGGGAUGGACCUGGCCAUCUUCUGAGGGGCCCUUCGUGAUAACGGGCUGCUCAGCAGGAGGAGGUCCUGCAGGUGGUGCUGCAAGGGGUCGGCUGGCCGCAGGGGGACUGCACAGACACAGGCUGGCAGCAGGUGGGGUCUCAGCAGGAGGAGGUCCUGCAGGUGGUGCUGCAAGGGGUCGGCUGGCCGCAGGGGGGCCGGCAGCAGGGGGACUGCACAGACACAGGCUGGCAGCAGGUGGUGGCCCAGCAGCAGGGCCUGCACACC
rnacentral:lncRNA from 1 species